GGUGGGAGGUAGGGGAAGAUGACGACAGCGUUAGAGAAAUGGUAAGCGUAGUUGACGUCGCGACGCUUAUUGCUCUUAGGUUAGCCAACAUCCUCCGAUCGCCUUCAGGCACAGGCAGUUUUUCGUUUUCCCUCUGAGCCAGCCCUAAAAAACUAAGCACAAUGGACGCGAUCAAGAAGAAAAUGCAAGCGAUGAAGCUUGAAAAGGACAAUGCACAGGAUAAAGCCGAUGCGAUGGAAGGGCAGUUCAAGGAUGCGAACAUGCGUGCUGAAAAGGUGAAAGAAGAGGUGUACGAAUACACAAAGAAAUUGGCACAAGUGGAAGCUGAUUUUGAAACAACUAAAAACAACCUUGAACAAGCUAACAAAGACCUUGAAACUAAAGAGAAAACGUUAAACAACGCCGAAUCAGAGAUGGCUGCCUUAAAUCGCAAAGUCCAACUCAUUGAAGAAGAUUUGGAACGUUCCGAAGAACGUCUAGGAACCGCAUCUACUAAACUUGCGGAAGCGUCUGAAGCAGCUGAUGAGAGCUCCCGUAUGUGCAAGGUAUUGGAAAAUCGUGCUUUACAAGAUGAAGAACGUAUGGAUCAACUAACCGCCCAGCUGAAGGAAGCGCGUAUGCUCGCCGAGGAUGCCGACAACAAAUCCGACGAAGUCUCCCGCAAACUGGCGUUCGUUGAAGACGAACUUGAAGUAGCCGAAGAUCGUGUCAAAGGCGGUGACGCCAAGAUUAUGGAACUUGAGGAAGAAUUGAAGGUCGUCGGAAAUUCGCUCAAAUCACUCGAGGUGUCCGAAGAAAAGGCCAACCAACGGGUGGAAGAAUUCAAGAAGCAAUUAAAAUCUCUCACCGUCAAACUAAAGGAGGCCGAAGCUCGCGCUGAAUACGCCGAGAAGGCCGUGAAGAAAUUGCAGAAGGAAGUUGAUAGAAUUGAAGACUUUGUGCUUCGCGAAAAAUCUAAGUAUCAAGGAGUAUUAAAUGAAAUUGACAAAACGUUCACUGAAAUGGCUUCGCUUACCGCUAACAAAUAACGCACCUUCCCUAGCUUACGCAUUUCUUUCUUAGCUUUACUCCACGCUUCCGCUACAUUAAUGCAAAUGCCCAGACGAACUUGGAAUCAACAAGGACAGGUACAAGUCAUUGGCCGACGAAAUGGACUCCACCUUUGCCGAAUUGGCCGGCUACUAAUUUAGAGAGUAAAGCAAGAAGAUCAAAAACAUCCUGUAAAUUUGAAGUAUCUUUAUAUUUUAUUACACUAUUUUCCGAUGUAUUAAUUUCUAACACGUUAAUUGUUAUAAUUAUUUUGAAAUAAAAAUAAUUAUUGUGCGGGAUUCAUCUGGUUAUGUGCAUUGCUGUAAUUCUAUAUUAUAUAUAUUAUAAUAAUACAAGCUUGUAAAUACAA